rnacentral:rRNA from 1 species
CCUACGGGUGGCAGCAGUGAGGAAUAUUGGUCAAUGGACGAGAGUCUGAACCAGCCAAGUAGCGUGAAGGAUGACUGCCCUAUGGGUUGUAAACUUCUUUUAUAAAGGAAUAAAACGAGGCACGUGUGCCUUUUUGCAUGUACUUUAUGAAUAAGGAUCGGCUAACUCCGUGCCAGCAGCCGCGGUAAUACGGAGGAUCCGAGCGUUAUCCGGAUUUAUUGGGUUUAAAGGGAGCGUAGAUGGGUUGUUAAGUCAGUUGCGAAAGUUUGCGGCUCAACCGUAAAAUUGCAAUUGAUACUGGCAGUCUUGAGUACAGUUGAGGUAGGCGGAAUUCGUGGUGUAGCGGUGAAAUGCUUAGAUAUCACGAAGAACCCCGAUUGCGAAGGCAGCUUACUAAACUGUGACUGACAUUGAUGCUCGAAAGUGUGGGUAUCAAACAGGAUUAGAUACCCGAGUAGUC